rnacentral:rRNA from 1 species
UGGGGAAUAUUGCACAAUGGGCGCAAGCCUGAUGCAGCCAUGCCGCGUGUAUGAUGAAGGCCUUCGGGUUGUAAAGUACUUUCAGCGAGGAGGAAGGCGUUGUGGUUAAUAACCGCAACGAUUGACGUUACUCGCAGAAGAAGCACCGGCUAACUCCGUGCCAGCAGCCGCGGUAAUACGGAGGGUGCAAGCGUUAAUCGGAAUUACUGGGCGUAAAGCGCACGCAGGCGGUCUGUCAAGUCGGAUGUGAAAUCCCCGGGCUCAACCUGGGAACUGCAUCCGAAACUGGCAGGCUAGAGUCUUGUAGAGGGGGGUAGAAUUCCAGGUGUAGCGGUGAAAUGCGUAGAGAUCUGGAGGAAUACCGGUGGCGAAGGCGGCCCCCUGGACAAAGACUGACGCUCAGGUGCGAAAGCGUGGGGAGCAAACA